rnacentral:lncRNA from 1 species
CAAUGCCAUGAAGAAUUCGUGUGCAUGUGAAGUUGGGUCCUCCAUGCAUGGGCAUGUACAUGCGCAUGAGAGGCCCAAAAGCUAUUGCAAUUGACUACUAAUCAUCAACCAAAUGGAAAUGGACAUGCAGAUUUCAUGAUAUCAGCUUGUGCAUGGAAUUUUGAUAUGUUAUGCAUAAUUGAACCUAAAACUUCUCCUCUUCGAAAAUGCCAUUUGCAAAAUUGAAACAUAGGCAUGUGGGUAAUGAUUGGAAAGGUGUUGACAUAAG